rnacentral:rRNA from 1 species
AGAGUUUGAUCCUGGCUCAGGACGAACGCUGGCGGCGCGCCUAACACAUGCAAGUCGAACGAGCGAGAGAGAGCUUGCUUUCUCAAGCGAGUGGCGAACGGGUGAGUAACGCGUGAGGAACCUGCCUCAAAGAGGGGGACAACAGUUGGAAACGACUGCUAAUACCGCAUAAGCCCACAGCUCGGCAUCGAGCAGAGGGAAAAGGAGCAAUCCGCUUUGAGAUGGCCUCGCGUCCGAUUAGCUAGUUGGUGAGGUAAUGGCCCACCAAGGCGACGAUCGGUAGCCGGACUGAGAGGUUGAACGGCCACAUUGGGACUGAGACACGGCCCAGACUCCUACGGGAGGCAGCAGUGGGGAAUAUUGCACAAUGGGGGAAACCCUGAUGCAGCGACGCCGCGUGGAGGAAGAAGGUCUUCGGAUUGUAAACUCCUGUUGUUGAGGAAGAUAAUGACGGUACUCAACAAGGAAGUGACGGCUAACUACGUGCCAGCAGCCGCGGUAAAACGUAGGUCACAAGCGUUGUCCGGAAUUACUGGGUGUAAAGGGAGCGCAGGCGGGAAGACAAGUUGGAAGUGAAAUCUAUGGGCUCAACCCAUAAACUGCUUUCAAAACUGUUUUUCUUGAGUAGUGCAGAGGUAGGCGGAAUUCCCGGUGUAGCGGUGGAAUGCGUAGAUAUCGGGAGGAACACCAGUGGCGAAGGCGGCCUACUGGGCACCAACUGACGCUGAGGCUCGAAAGUGUGGGUAGCAAACAGGAUUAGAUACCCUGGUAGUCCACACCGUAAACGAUGAUUACUAGGUGUUGGAGGAUUGACCCCUUCAGUGCCGCAGUUAACACAAUAAGUAAUCCACCUGGGGAGUACGACCGCAAGGUUGAAACUCAAAGGAAUUGACGGGGGCCCGCACAAGCAGUGGAGUAUGUGGUUUAAUUCGACGCAACGCGAAGAACCUUACCAAGUCUUGACAUCCUGCGACGGACAUAGAAAUAUGUCUUUCCUUCGGGACGCAGAGACAGGUGGUGCAUGGUUGUCGUCAGCUCGUGUCGUGAGAUGUUGGGUUAAGUCCCGCAACGAGCGCAACCCUUACUGUCAGUUACUACGCAAGAGGACUCUGGCAGGACUGCCGUUGACAAAACGGAGGAAGGUGGGGAUGACGUCAAAUCAUCAUGCCCUUUAUGACUUGGGCUACACACGUACUACAAUGGCGUUAAACAAAGAGAAGCAAGACCGCGAGGUGGAGCAAAACUCAGAAACAACGUCCCAGUUCGGACUGCAGGCUGCAACUCGCCUGCACGAAGUCGGAAUUGCUAGUAAUCGUGGAUCAGCAUGCCACGGUGAAUACGUUCNCCGGGCCCUUGUACACACCGCCCGUNNC